UACGUAGGGUGCAAGCGUUGUCCGGAAUUACUGGGCGUAAAGAGCGCGUAGGCGGCUCGUUAAGUGUAGAGUGAAAUCUCUGGGCUCACCCCAGAAACCGCUCUGCAUACUGGCGAGCUGGAGUGUCGGAGAGGUAUGUGGAAUUCCUGGUGUAGCGGUGAAAUGCGUUGAUAUCAGGAGGAACACCCAUGGCGAAGGCAGCAUACUGGCCGACCACUGACGCUGAGGCGCGAAAGCGUGGGUAGCAAACAGG
rnacentral:rRNA from 1 species